UACAGAGGUCUCAAGCGUUGUUCGGAUUCAUUGGGCGUAAAGGGGUGCGUAGGCGGCGCGGUAAGUCGGAUGUGAAAUCUCGGAGCUUAACUCCGAAACUGCAUUCGAUACUGCCGUGCUUGAGGACUGGAGAGGAGACUGGAAUUUACGGUGUAGCGGUGAAAUGCGUAGAUAUCGUAAGGAAGACCAGUGGCGAAGGCGGGUCUCUGGACAGUUCCUGACACUGAGGCACGAAGGCCAGGGGAGCAAACGGG
rnacentral:rRNA from 1 species